CCUACGGGUGGCAGCAGUGAGGAAUAUUGGUCAAUGGCCGGAAGGCUGAACCAGCCAUGUCGCGUGAAGGAAGACGGCUCUAUGAGUUGUAAACUGCUUUUGUACGGGGGGAAACGCUGAUACGUGUAUCUGUCUGAACGUAUCGUACGAAUAAGCAUCGGCUAACUCCGUGCCAGCAGCCGCGGUAAUACGGAGGAUUCAAGCGUUAUCCGGAUUUAUUGGGUUUAAAGGGUGCGUAGGCGGUUGGAUAAGUUAGAGGUUAAAUCCCGAGGAUUAACUUCGGAAUUGCCUUUGAUACUGUUCGGCUAGAGUGUAGUCGCGGUAGGCGGAAUGAGUUGUGUAGCGGUGAAAUGCUUAGAGAUCAUGCAGAACACCGAUUGCGAAGGCAGCUUACCAGACUGCUUCUGACGUUGAGGCACGAAAGCGUGGGGAGCAAACAGGAUUAGAUACCCUUGUAGUC
rnacentral:rRNA from 1 species